AGAAGCCGUAUGAGGUGCAAAUCUCAUGUAUGGUUUUGUAGAGUGACAGUGAAGACAACUUAUCUGUCAACUUUUCC
rfam:Picea glauca, whole genome shotgun sequence.